rnacentral:misc_RNA from 1 species
UUGUUCUUGCCAAUUCCUAUCCAGCCAUUAAACAGAGUGACUGGCUUUCCGUCACCCCACUCAGGACCUACUUCUAACUUAAAAGUCCCAACUUGCUGUCUCUUAAUACCAACUCCACAGUGGCCACCUUUGUGUCCUGUGAAUACAACUAUCUCUAGACAUGCGUGAGGCGCAUAAAAACACCCAGGUUCAAGUAAGGCUUUUAAAUCAGAUUCUUCGAGAUAAAAGCUGGAUGCAACAUUGUGAAUAUCCACGGUAGCUUCAGGUGAGGAAAUAAAGGGAACAGAUGAUGUCUGUACAGGGAAACCUCGAAGACGGAUCUCGCAUAAACAGGGAGAAGAGAGUGCACUUAUCCCUGAUUUUGUACCAUUUAAAGUUGUCCCAGAGAGUCUCAACCCCAACGACCCUAUUGACAGCCUGAUAAAAGCCUGAG